rnacentral:rRNA from 1 species
UACGGGGGGGGCAAGCGUUGUUCGGAAUUACUGGGCGUAAAGGGCUCGUAGGCGGCCAACUAAGUCAGACGUGAAAUCCCUCGGCUUAACCGGGGAACUGCGUCUGAUACUGGAUGGCUUGAAUCCGGGAGAGGGAUGCGGAAUUCCAGGUGUAGCGGUGAAAUGCGUAGAUAUCGAGAGGAACACCUGCGGCGAAGGCGGGUUGCUGGGCUGACACUGACGCUGAUGCGCGAAAGCCAGGGGAGCGAACGGGG